ensembl:lncRNA
AGCAAACAGGACGCACCGUAGUUUAUGUUACGCAGCAGUUAAUUAUCUUCUUCAAUCUUUUCUCAAAACUGAAAAGGUAAAACAUGGCUACUAACAUGCUGACCAGACCGCUCACACGUAUGUUUAUUUUGUCCACCCACACCAGACCAGUUGCCACAUCAGGACACGCAGGUUGAAAUAUCAAAACGAACUCUGAACUAACUAUAUUAAUUUGGGGACAGGUCGAAAAUAAUUAAAUAUUUAUGGAAAUUUAGCUAGCUAGCUUGCUGUUUCUAGUUAAUUUGUCCUGGGAUAUAAACAUUUGGUUGUUAUUUUACCUGAAAUGCACAAGGUCCUCGACUCCAACAAUUAAUCCACAGAUAAAAGGGUAAACGUUUGUUUCUAGUAAUCUCGCUUUCUUCAGGCUUCUUCUUCUUUGGACUUUAUAUGGCAGUUGGCAACCAACUUUAAUGUGCAUUACCACUACCAACUGGAUUGGAGUGUGGACCUCAGUUAAUCUUUCAAUCACCCACGUGGGUAAAUGCUCCAAAAACCAAUGAGAAGAUUGGAGAGGCAGGACUUGCAAAGCAUCAAGUGUCACAAAUAGAACCAAGUUCUAUUUUAGGGCCUGGCUACGCAGAUGCUCGUUGACACACACGAUCAGUGUUGGUGCAAUGAUUGAAUAACAUUUAUGUGUAAAUUAAUUUUGCUAAUUUAUUUCACAACGCGAGCGGUGUGGUCAGCAUGUUUUUUUAAAUUUUUUUAUUUUACCUUUAUAGGCAAGUCUAGGCAAGUCAGUUAAGAACAAAUUCUUAUUUACAAUGACGGCCUAGGAACAGUGGGUUAACUGCCUGUUCAGGGGCAGAACGACAGAUUUGUACCUUGUCAGCUCGGGGAUUUGAACUUGCAACCUUUCGAUGACAUUAUUGCGGAAAUUGACCGGGAGAGUGACACAGAACUAAUGGAUGAGGACUCUGAGUGAGCACAGUUCUGAUUCCAGUGUGGAAGAAAUGUUUUUGGAAGGAAAAUAUCCACUUUUAGAUCAAUAAGCUGACUGCAGUGAUUAAAUUCUAUAAGGAAAAUGGCGUGGCUUCAAGGAAGAAGAGGUGUGGUGGUCGUCGUCACGCCAGUAAAAGGGUGAUGUCUUAUGAGGAUAUUCAGCAAAUUGUUCACUAUGUCAAAAACGUUGAUGUUCAGCGAUGUCGCUCCUAAGAUGGAUCCCUGGAAUUAAGAGGGCAGACAUCCAGGUGCUACUGACAUUUUAGACCAAGUCCUCUGUGUGGCGCAGGUACAAAAAUGUUUGAUGCAUGAUCAUGUUGAGUGUUUUCCUAAAUCCAACAUUCAACAUCUCAAGCAAGUGGGCCAGCGGCAAAGACUAACCAAUGCCCACACGAAUCGGAUCCAAAUAGGCCAUCAGUCAUUACUCUCUGGUGACGUGUGUGUGUGUGUGUGUGGUCAUAUUUUCUUUAACAUUUCGAAUUGAUUUGCUGUUUAGAGAGAACAGAGCUUACUCUGACCCUGUUUAGCUCUCAGCCCCUCCAUCCCCUUUCCUGUUUUAUCUCUUUUCAGAUGUUUACUCUGUGCGGUGUUCAUAAAAAUGCAGGUCCUGGGUUUGUGAGAGGGUUGCUUAGGCACAUCUACAUACUGUAUGCUGUACCCAGGGAAAAAAAUGUGUAUGAGUAUAGGCUGUACACUUUUUCUGUUACAUGUAUUUAUAAGAGACGUUAUUUAACGUGGGAAUUUCUUAUGUAUUUAUCCUCCCUAGCCUUAUCUUCGAAUGUAAUCUGACAUGGAAAAACAGGGCCAGAACCAUAUGUGCAAGGACUAUACGGGGUGCGGACAUUUGUACAUGCAUGUGCGCGUACACAUGAACACAAACACGUGCACACUGCGUGUAGUCCUCGCACAUACUGUAUCAUGGCAUGAACAUGUGCGGUGUGAGUUUUUCGAUGUCAUACAUAUGUAUCUGCAUGUACUGUACAUGUGUACAUGUGCAAAUAAGUAAAUGUAACCAAUACAUUCUGAUGCUUGUAUGUGUACACAUGUAUGUGUGCAUGCAUACACGUGCAAAUGUACACAUAUACGUGUUUGCGGACAACUAUGCAACAGACACUAUGUCUGCAGUUUUGUAUUAAGUAAAUAGUUGUUAGUCAUUAUUUGAAUAAAUGUCUUAAGUAACUGCAAACUUUGACUGCGUUUUUCUCAAUCACACUCAGUAUGUAACGGUGUGCAACUCACUUAAUAUUUGGAGUAGAGAGAUCAUGUGUGUUUCAUUAGAAAGCUAACAUUUGCCUCUUUUCAGCACUGUAUAAAAUUCCAAAUGUGUUUUUUGGGUCAAUGUGAUUUAUGAUAGAGCAAGUCACAUACAGUAUGUUAACGUAUAUCACAAAUUAACAGUUAACUUUCCCUCUCUAUCUUGACAAUCCUCACAGUUCACUCAGAGAUGGUAUGUAUGCUGGUUGAUGGCACCUGCAGGCCUGUUUGAGGGACAACUGGACACAACAUAUUAGCAUUUUUGGACUUCAGCUGAGACCCUCCUCCUCCUCCUUUACACAUCCUGUUAGGAAAGCUCCUUCUUUACACUUCCUGUUAGGCAUGAUGCUCUCAAGGGGUGUCUCUUCAAUGAUCUAAUGUCGUGUGGUAUUACCUAUAGAUGACCCUUACAAGCUUUCAGAUUGCUUGCCUGUGAAUGGUUGUCCACAUAAUCAGGCUAUUUACUUGUUACAUGGGUCUUUAAAUACUGUCUCUCUUACAGAAUUUAAAUGUUUCAACUGCCCCAUGCUUUCAUAUCAAAAUCAAAUUUAUUUAUAUAGCCCUUCUUACAUCAGCUGAUUUAUCAAAGUGCUGUACAGAAACCCAGCCUAAAACCCCAAAGAGCAAGCAAUGCAGGUGUAGAAGCACGGUGGCUAGGAAAAACAACCUAGAAAGGCCAAAACCUAGGAAGAAACCUAGAGAGAAACCAGGCUAUGAGGGAUGGCCAGUCCUCUUCUGGGCUGUGCCGGGUGGAGAUUAUAACAGAACAUGGCCAAGAUGUUAAAAUGUUCAUAAAUGACCAGCAUGGUCAAAUAAUAAUAAUCACUGUAGUUGUCGAGGGUGCAACAAGUCAGCACCUCAGGAGUAAAUGUCAGUUGGCUUUUCAUAGCCGAUCAUCUCUUUCUUUCUCUCCAUGAUAUAUUAGUGGAAGUUGUUUUGUUGUUGGCACCGAUCCCAUGCUGCCAAAAUCAAUUACUUCAUCCCUCAUACUAAACUUUGCUUGCUCUUGUUCAACUACCCUUUGAUUAAAUCCAUUUAAUUCAAUGUAUAAAUUUUCUUCAAGUGUGGCUUUUACUUAUAGUUGACAGAUGGCACUUGUAUGGAGGGGUGUGGGGGGGGGGAAGAGUGGAUAGAUGGGUGUACAUAGGUUUAGUUGAAGAAACUCCCUCCCCUCCUUCUCUUGAUAAGAAAUGAACGUUCAUGUAAUUGAUCCAAAAUUAAAUCUAAUGUAAUAUUUUAUAAGUUACAAGCUAAGACAAAAUGAGAUUUCAAGAUGUUACUUUGUCUUCACACAUCUAUUCACUGCUGGCCAAAUGCAUUCACCAUCCACUUCAGCAAGCAUUUCCAUUUUUUUAGGCCUGUUUUAAAAUUAAGGUAAAGCAUUUUGGAUGAAGUAUAAAAACAUGUGACAGGCUGUAUUAUUCUACUUAUGGUACUGUAUACACAAGUUAUUCAAUAUAUUUUUAAUUUGACAAUAGUUGGAAGUUUAGUAUCAUUAAUCCUACAUCAAGUCUCAAAUGGCUGAAUUGCGGUGUAUUUACUGAAUAACCCGUGUUGUACAAUUAUUAUUCACCAGAUGGCAGUAAUGUGAGAGGUCUAUUAACCUUUCAAGUACUGAGCGAAUGUCAAAAUUCAUGAAAUUCCCUGAAUGUUGAGCCCCCAACUCCUGUCACUUACUCCAUUAAAUAUCUUAAACAUAUACAGUUUGGCAUGGGGCGCAUGUCCAUGAUUUAUAGACAAUGACACUUAAAUUAUUGGUUGGAGAAAUAUUCUUUAUUUUAUCUCUUCAAAGUAUAGCCAAGAAUCCUGAAAAAAAGAGAAUGUUGUAUUGAAUAGCGCAUUCGGUUUACCAACAAUGCCGUACUUUGACAAAGUAGAGUGUUUGUUGUGCAUAAAAACAAUGUAACUUGUUAACCAUGUUUCUAUCGCGUAUAAAGCUGCCUCUUUAAAAGUACAUGCUCUAGCAAUGUGAAAUAUAUUAUUAUAAUAAAGACCGAAGUGUUGGUAGAGUAUAACCAUAUCAUUUAACCUACCUGGUGUGUUUGUCAGAAGCGCCGCGCUAAAUUACUUCCUUGUUGAAGUUGAAGUGUGCAUUACGCUUGACGUAAAUUAGUCUACGAAUCAUUGAGGAACAUUUAUCAUUUGACUGGAAUAAGCAAAGUGAUGAAUUAUCCCGGGGGUGAAUAACUUAAUGAAUGCGUAUUGUGUGACUUAAAGAAGAAAGUAUGGUACAAGUUAUUAAAGUGUAUGUUAAUGUAAAACUGUAGUUUAUGAAUGGUAUAUGUCCAUGGGAAAUGACGCAUCUAUGGUAUAAAUGUGCUUUGGAGCUAUCAAGACGGAACAUUCCUAGCUGAAGGGAGUUCCUGGAAAUAGUAUUUAGGUACUCAGUUGUUGUUGUUGUUUUGUUUGUUUUAUGCCUUGGGGAGAGCAGGCUGAGUUUGAGUAAUAGGCAAUAGUUUAUACUGAGAAUAUAUUUUAUUUUUUUCAAGUCCUG